ACGAACGCUGGCGGCGUGCUUAACACCUGCAAGUCGAACGGAAAGGCCUGCUUUCCCUUGUGGAUUGCGGGUACUCGAGUGGCGAACGGGUGAGUAACACGUGAGUGAUCUGCCCCCAACUUGGGUAUAAGCCUGGGAAACUGGGUCUAAUUCCCGAUAGGACUGCAGGGUGGUGCCUGUGGUGGAAAACGAUUUUCUAGUGGUUGGGGAUGAGCUCGCGGCCUAUCAGCUUGUUGGUGGGGUAAUGGCCUACCAAGGCGGCGACGGGUAGCCGGCCUGAGAGAGUGGACGGCCACAGUGGGACUGAGAUACUGCCCAGACUCCUACGGGAGGCAGCAGUGGGGAAUAUUGCACAAUGGGCGGAAGCCUGAUGCAGCGACGCCGCGUGGGGGAUGACGGCCUUCGGGUUGUAAACUCCUUUCGACCGCGAGGAAGCCACCUGGUUGGAAGGGUGGUGACGGUAGUGGUAGAAGAAGCACCGGCUAACUACGUG
rnacentral:rRNA from 1 species